AAAUUAUACUAAAUACACGAAAUAAAUUUGUAUUUUUUAUUUAAGAGUUAAAUUUGCUUAUCUCUUUAAGAUUUAAUAACUAUACAAUACAAAUAUAAGUUAAAUUAAUUCGUUUCAUAAAAUAUUUGUGUUCAUGACGUCACGGUUGUUGACAUUUUCUUAGCAAAAUGAAAGUGCGAAAUAAAAGCGAGCGAUUUGCAAAAUCGAGGAAGAAGCAAACACCGAUCGACAACGUUGUGUUAGAAAACAAUUAUUCAUUUACCGAGCUCUGCGAUGGCGAUUUGUGUGAAAAUGACUCACGUAAAAGCUAUUCGCAUUUGCUAAAUGGCGUGAAAAGAGUAAGCAGAAGUGGGUGGGGGGAUGGAAGAAGAUUGAUUGACUCGUUGAGCUGGAGGUAAUGCUAAACAAAUUACAGUAUGGUCAAAUUUGUUAUCUGUGUCCCAUUCCUUUGACAAUAUAUAACAUUGUUGACGAACUACAAAAUGGCAUCAGUGGUUAUUUGUACGUUGUUUGUGAAAACCCUGACUGUAGAAAAGUCAACCGUGUUGCUUAUGGAAAGCAGCACCACCUCAAGAUCAGGGGAAUGCCAUGCUUUGACGUAAAUAUCAAGCUUGGAACAGGUAUGCAUGUCUUCAUUUUUCAACCUGCCAUUUCUAUCAAUGUUUAAUCAUUGUACAAUUGCCAUUGAUCUUUGGACUUCUAACACAUUUUCAGACCCCUUAAAAUUCCAAGUGUCAUUCCCAGUGAAUAUUUGUUUAUCGUGUAAUAUAUAAGGAAACAUUCCGGUGUCCAUCAUAUUCAGUUUUCAAAUUUAGUUUCGCAUUUGUGUUCUUAAAUCCAAUUGAUUGCUCAUUCAUGUUAUUUAAUAAUGUAAUGAUUAUACGAAUGGAUUCUAUGAAAAAACAGUGUGACGUCAUUAUUAAGUAACUACGGCCUUAUUUCGUUUUCAUGUUAUUAUCAUUUUCAAUUCUCUUUUCAGCAAUGAUAGUCAGUUUGGGCAGGCCGGUGAAGGUAUAUAACUUCCUAACCACUCUAAAGAUAACGCUUAUGGCAAAUAGAAAUCUUAAGAAGAUGGAGGCUCGUGCUGGGGAGUCCAUCAAGAAAAUCUCAACUGCGUCGUCUAACAAGGCUGCCAUUGAUGCUUAUGAGAAAGAAAUGGAUUCGAGGUACAGUAAUGCCUGAUAUUACUCAGAUUGCUGAUGUGCAUUUGAAGACGGGUUUUACGUUCUCGACAUAUGUGAAGACAACAGUGCCAAUUUCUUCCGAAGCUCAUCAUUGGCAUCUCUGUUGAUGAUCAUGGUAUAAUGCGUGUAAAUGGUGGAAGUGUUGAUAGUGUAUCAAUUAAAACUUCUCUACAUGAUUGUAUGAUGUGGCUUGCAAAGUUUCCAAGAGCCAUUUUUGUUGCUCAUAAUGGGCGCAGGUUUGAUUUUCCGGUUUUGGUUAGUGCAUUGCUGAACACACACUGUUUUGAAACGUUUUGUAAUUGUGUAAGCAGUUUUGUUGACUCUUUGCCGGUUUUCAAAAAUCGUAUUCUGGAGAGUCACACAAACAGGAAGAUCUAGUGAACGUGUUCUCCAGGCAACCUGCAACGCCCACAGUGCUCCUGAUGAUGUUGAAGCACUGGGAUCUUUGCUUAAAACAUGUAAAAUUACUGACAAUAUGGCCCACAUCUUUACUGUUACUGCAAUCCAUAAUUCAGUUUGUUUAAGUCAUGAAAAGCCUUAAAGGCAAAGAACAUUAGAUUGUUAGACGUGAUGUCGCAAAGAGGAACUUUAAAGCGACCAACAGCUGAAAACAUUGCGGAUAUGGACUGGCCUUGUAUCAUUUGAAAGCCAUAUUUUCUAGUUCCGGAGAGGAUGACUUUAGGGAUACUUUCAUUGCUAAAAACAAUGAGGGACUACCAAAAGUCACAAACGCAAAAAAAUAUUUUAUCUGAAGUCCCUAAAAUCGGUCAGUUUUUCAGUGACGAAAAGUGACGAAACGAGAUAAUAUGGCUUUCAAAUGACACGCGGCCGGUCAAAAUCACGCAAUGGCUUGAUACUGAUACUAAAUUAUGUACAUCUAGUUGUCAUUAAUCUGGCUGUUUUUAUUAAAAUAUAAGUUGUAUAUUAUUGUGUUACAUGUUUAAAGAAACAUGAUAACUUAUACAUCUUUAUGCUACGUAAUAUUGGGACAACUUUGACAUUUUAUGGCGAACUGCGCCUGUAUUCAUAUGUUGCCUUUUGACUUUAGGUGACCUUAAGAUUGUAUUAUUAGCUCGGCUGUUUUCGGAGUAAACUCCGAGGUAUUGUCAUAGCCUCUUCGUAGUCCGCUGUCCGACGUCCGCCGUCAUGCUAAAACCUUUACAUUGGCUCUAAAAUUAAAGUGCUUCCACCUACAACUUUGAAACUUCAUAUGUACAUGCACCUUGAUGAGUUAUACACGCCACACCCAAUUUUGGGUCACUAGGUUAAAGGUCAAGGUCACUGUGACCUCUAAUAUAAAACUUUAACUUUGCCUCUAACAUCAUAGUGCUUCCACCUACAAUUUUGAAACUUCAUAUGUACAUGCACCUUGAUGAGUUCUACACACCACACCCAUUUUUUUGGUCGCUAGGUGUGAGUUCAAGGUCACCGUGACCUCUAAUAUAAAACUUUAACUUUACCUCUAACAUCACAGUACUUCCACCUACAACUUUGAAACUUCAUAUGUAGAUGCACCUUGAUGAGUUCUACACGCCACACCCAUUUUGGGUCACUAGGUCAAAGGUCAAGGUCACUGUGACCUCUAAAAAAAAUUCUGACAAGCUUUCGCAGCAGAGCGUGGCACCCGUUAUGCGGUGCUCUGUUUAAUGUAUUAUUAUAUCAAUAUUAAUACAAAGUAAGCUAAAUUUCUUCACAUGUCAUGGUUAGUAACUGUAGCUUUUAAUAAGCAACUAGAAAACCCCCAAAAAGAAGUGAUAUACAAAUUUAUACCUUAAUUCAUUGCGUGCAAAAUGAAUUGGGUUAGGCAUACUCAAAGUAAAAUUUCUUGAGAUAGGAACGGUAAAACUUCCUGAAAUUCAUUCAGUGUGUAGAAAAUAUGUUGUGUUAAAUAAAUAUGUACAAUAUAUGCAUUUCAUCACACUAAAAGGGACAUAAAACGUAAUUAAAGUUUCUGAACCAU